rnacentral:rRNA from 1 species
UACGUAGGGUGCAAGCGUUAAUCGGAAUUACUGGGCGUAAAGCGUGCGCAGGCGGUUAUGUAAGACAGAUGUGAAAUGCCCGGGCUUAACCUGGGAACUGCAUUUGUGACUGUACGGCUAGAGUGUGUCAGAGGGGGGUAGAAUUCCACGUGUAGCAGUGAAAUGCGUAGAGAUGUGGAGGAAUACCGAUGGCGAAGGCAGCCCCCUGGGAUAACACUGACGCUCAUGCACGAAAGCGUGGGGAGCAAACAGG